rnacentral:lncRNA from 12 species
GAGGAUGGGAGGAUGGGGUAAUUGGGUGAUAGGCAUUAAGGAGGGCACCUGACGUGAUGAGCACUGGGUGUUAUAUGCAACUGAGGAAUCACUGAACUCUACUCCGAAACUAACAAUACACUAUAUGUUAAUUCAUUAAAUUUAAAUAAAAUAAAAUAAAAUAAAUUUUUUAAAGGGGGUAGUGAGACAGCCAGAUGCUUCUGGUGGGAAUUUCUGUAGACGUUGCUGCAAUCAGACCCACGGUGCCUAAAGAUACCUUUGGACACAGUUCUUGUCUAUGUGCAAAUUGUAGCUGCUAACACGGGGCAGAGAGACUGCGUGGGGAUCUGCAGGUUGGUUUCCACCUUCCUGGCAUUCCUAACCUGGGAGUCUGCGGUUCGGGGUGGAUGCUUUCUUUUGUCCUUAUUUGCCUGCCUCUCACCUGCUUUACCAGCCAGCUGGCAUUGCCCCCGCCUCGCCUGCCUGCUGUUGACUGGACCUGGGGAUGUGUUUGGCUUUUCACAAAUUUCUAUAGUCUUUAUUAAGGUUGAACCAAGGUGGAGGAAUAAGCUGGUCUGAAGACUCACUGUGGGGAAAAGCACAGAAACAUGAAAUGCAUGUAUGAAGUAAGGUCUGCACUUGGACCACCUGACUUUGUGUGUUGGUAAGGUGUCUUUGGACAAGUAAAUUAACCUAUCUAUGCC